rnacentral:lncRNA from 13 species
GGAUGGAUGGAUGGAGGGAUGGAUGGAUGGUGACAAGAAGAGGGGACAAUCAGGCCAUUUUGCUCCUCCGUGGUGUGUCUGACCCUCAUCCCGAGCCGAUUCCCGGGAGCCAGGGGGGACAUCCCUGCGCUGCCCGGCGGUGCCAGGCUCCGCUCUGGGCUCCAGGGGGUCGGCAGCUACCGCCUGGCGCUGCAGAGGAUGGUGGGGGACCUGCUGUCCCUGCGCCGCCGCGUCGCCAGCCUGGAGGCAGAGAACGGGCACCUGCGGCACAGCCUGGCACAGCUCCGGGAGCCGGGCCAGCUCCGCGACACCGACCUGGACGUCAUGACCCGGGAGGAGCUGCAGGACAGGCUCGGUGAGCGCCGGGCACGGGCAGGGGCCCGCUGGCACUGCCACCUCCGGCCGGUGACCGGGACGUGACGCGUCCUUGCAGCCACCCUGGCCCGCGAGCUGGCAGCCGGCACGGCGGAGAUGAGGGGGCUGAGGGAUCGCGUCCAGCGGCUGCAGAACGAGCUGAUCCGGAAAAACGACCGGGAGAAGGAGCUGGUGCUGCUGCAGCGGUGCCACCGGCAGCAGCAGCUGGCACUGAGGAGGUGCCAGGACAGGGUGGCCAAGGCCAGGGGACUGGAGCAGGCGCUGCGGCAGCAGGAGAAGGUGAUCGAGGCCAUGGAGCGGGUGCUGCGGGAGAAGCCGGCCGGGCUGGGCAGGAGCACGGAGAGAGCCGCGGGUGGGUUCAGGAGGGGACAGGGACCCUCAGGGAUGCCCCCAACCCUCAAGGAUGUCCCCAAGCCAGCUGGGAGCUCCCUGGGAUGGUCCAGGGCAGGAGCAUGGAGGGACCCGCGGGUGGGUGCGGAGGGGACAGGGACCCUCAGGGAUGUCCCCAAGCCUCCCUGCCGUGAUCCAUGCCAGGGGAUCCGUCAUUCCCGAGCCCCUCAGCCCCAAUCCCCGGGCAUGGGAGUGGCCGGGGCUCGCUGUCGGCCCCAUCCCUGCUCGGCGAGAGGCACAGGACACGUCCCGCUGUCCCCCCACGCCACCCCACAGGUGACAGCCUCUGCGGUGACGCGCUGGCCGCGCUGCUGGCCGAGAACCGGCGGCUGCGGGAGGAGCUGGCCAGACCCCCCCGGGCCGCGGCCGCCGCUGCCCCGCGGGCCCCGGCGCUGCUGGUGAGACUGGGGAGGGGACACGGGGCUGGCACAAGGGACAGAGCCGGCAAACAGCACCGGGGGCGUCUCCUGGGGGGCACCGCCGGCUCCGUGGGGCGGCAGCAGCGGGGAGGGGGGCGAUGCAGCACCGCCUUUGCCAGUCCCGCUCCUUCCGUGCCCACAGGGCGUCCUGGGGGGCACGGAGAAGCUGUGGCUGCUGGCCAGGCUGGAGGAGGCACAAGCCCGCGGGCGGGCGCUGGAGAGGCAGAAGCUGCCAGCGAUUUCCGUGCCCCCCCGGAGGCCACGCCAGGCGCUGCCCCCCCUGCCCUGAGCGCGCAGAGACGGAGACACCCAGGGCUGGCGCAGAGGAGCUUUUCCAUGGGAUCAGCGACAGAGGGAAUCACGGGCGAAGCGGAACAUUCCCGGGGGUCAGAGGAGCGCGGCCGCGGUCCCGGUGUGAGCCCGGGGACCCCCACGGAGCCGGAGGGACCCCGCGCCCAUCCCGCGCUCCGUGGGGUGGCUCCGCUUUAUCUCCGCCGUGGCGUAAGCGCAGCCUUGAGCCAAGGCGGGGACGCGGCCGCCAAGGAUGUGGCCCUGAAAGCGUCCCAGCUGUCCCCAAACCCCAUCGCGGGGCCGGGACGCGGGGGGUGCCCCCAGAGGGGGUCGGGCUGGGUGUCACUGGGGCGGCGGCGCUCACGCCUGGCACUCCAGGGGCCGCAGGGUCAGCUGGAUGGGUUUGUCCGGGAUCAGGAUGAGGUCGAACUUGGUCCCGAUUUCCACGGCUCUCAUGGUUUCGAUCUUGAAGUUCUCCAGGAUCUGGGGUGAAGCAGGAUAAGAGGGCAUGGAGCUGGAUGGGGUUGGGUGUGGGGCAAGGUGUCCCUGCCCCCCCGAACCAUCCCACGGCUCCCUGGGAGCAGACGCCCGCUGGCCGCCCGCCCCGCUGUCCCCUGCCGUCCGC